rnacentral:snRNA from 1 species
CCGUGAAAGCGUGGCCUAUCGAUCC